UACGUAGGGUGCGAGCGUUGUCCGGAAUUACUGGGCGUAAAGAGCUCGUAGGUGGUUUGUCGCGUUGUUCGUGAAAACUCACAGCUCAACUGUGGGCGUGCGGGCGAUACGGGCAGACUGGAGUACUGCAGGGGAGACUGGAAUUCCUGGUGUAGCGGUGAAAUGCGCAGAUAUCAGGAGGAACACCGGUGGCGAAGGCGGGUCUCUGGGCCGAUACUGACGCUGAGGAGCGAAAGCGUGGGGAGUGAACAGG
rnacentral:rRNA from 1 species